rnacentral:rRNA from 1 species
CAUAGUCUGUAUUCUGCGUGCUGCUGACGAUUGGGGUUAGAACAAGCAAUGCUCUACGAUUUCUUUUGAUUACCACUGGGUGGAUCGAUGCUAUGUGUUAUCACGAUUCUGACGAAAUGGUUUUCAUCGACCCGUCUUGAAGCACGGACCAAGCCAUCGUAGGGUGGCGAGAAGCCUAAUUCCCCCCAAUGAAGUAAAAUUUUGAUUUUUGCGGUUCUCCCUCAAUGAAUCUUUUACCACUCUCACCCAUGAAUCUCGCAUCGAUGAGCAACACGAAGAGAGGAUCGAAGAAAUGUGAGAAGCACCAAUUGUUGAAUCGGCGGGUGCGUCCGUUCUUUUUGCGCCCCUCGUGCCCUUUUGGGUUGGCCUGGUGAAGCGGGGUGAGCUCGGAGUCCCACUUCGUCUGGCGGGGGCUGCUGUCCUGGGAUUUGGGAGACUGCGCUCCCCUGGCUUAUGUGCUCUCCUUUAAUACAUUAUAUAUUCCCUGAUGUUCUCGCUGCUAAAGGCAGGUACUACUUGCUUCAGCUGACCAAGGAUACUGUAUGCCUCCUGCUGAAACUAGACUUGCUGCCCCACUAGAAUAUCAAUCCGCACGAAUACCCCUAUUAGUAGAUUGUGUUGUUCUACGUAGGAAACGUAACUAGCAAGGCAUCCCAUUGACUUGCGACUGACCAGGAUGAUGACGCAUCUCCUUCUGCAGGCGACAGAGCCAGAGGUGAUCUUAAAGGAAGAGUAUGCCGCGCGUGACCCUAUACGCUUUCCUUGUACAUACCUCCUACAAGGCGAGAUUCUGUCAAUGAAAGUAAAUCGGGUGGUCAGUGAGUCUACACUAUAGACUGGAGUAGAGAUAUGAAGGCUUUGCGAGUGGUGACAAAAUCAAAGUUAUUGGUAAAAGAGAUACAAGCCAUAAAUUUUCGAGAGGGAACGCUAAGAAGUCUAUGGAGUCAAUGCACGUGCUGUAGACAGAUGAGACCUUUGAUACGUGCGACAGCUGCAUCCGGUUAUGAUUUACUCUUGGGAUCGCUAACUUACUUGCAUCUUCCUUUGAGUUAAUGCAGGCGACAGUCGCAUCGUCCUCCCUGAUAUCGCCCAGAUGUGGUAUUAGAGUUUUUACCACGAGUUAGUUUAUGCCU